rnacentral:rRNA from 1 species
GAUUAACGCUGGCGGCGUGCAUAACACAUGCAAGUCGAACGAUGAAACUUUAAUGAACCCUUCGGGGAGAAUUAAAGCGGAUUAGUGGCGAACGGGUGAGUAACGCGUGAGUAACCUGCCUUACACAAGGGGAUAGCCUUUGGAAACGAAGAAUAAUACCCUAUAAAACCAUACAAGCACAUGCAAUUAUGGUCAAAGUGAUAGCGGUGUAAGAUGGACUUGCGUCUGAUUAGCUAGUUGGUGAGAUAAAAGCCCACCAAGGCAACGAUCAGUAGCCGGCUUGAGAGAGUGUACGGCCACAUUGGGACUGAGACACGGCCCAGACUCCUACGGGAGGCAGCAGUGGGGAAUUUUGCACAAUGGGGGAAACACUGAUGCAGCGACGCCGCGUGAUUUAGAAGGCCUUCGGGUUGUAAAAAUCUUUUGUAUAGGAAGAAAAUGACAGUACUAUACGAAUAAGGUCCGGCUAAUUACGUG